UACGUAGGGGGCAAGCGUUGUCCGGAUUUAUUGGGCGUAAAGAGCGUGUAGGCGGCUAGGUAGGUCCGUUGUGAAAACUCGAGGCUCAACCUCGAGACGUCGAUGGAAACCAUCUAGCUAGAGUCCGGAAGAGGAGAGUGGAAUUCCUGGUGUAGCGGUGAAAUGCGCAGAUAUCAGGAAGAACACCUAUGGCGAAGGCAGCUCUCUGGGACGGUACUGACGCUGAGACGCGAAAGCGUGGGGAGCAAACAGG
rnacentral:rRNA from 1 species